GAUGAACGCUAGCGGGAGGCUUAACACAUGCAAGUCGAGGGGCAGCAUAGGGUAGCAAUACUCUGAUGGCGACCGGCAAACGGGUGAGUAACGCGUAUGCAACCUACCCUGUACAGGGGGAUAACCCGGAGAAAUUCGGACUAAUAUCCCGUAAUAAUAUCCGGAGGCAUCUUUGGAUAUUUAAAGUUCCGACGGUACGGGAUGGGCAUGCGUAACAUUAGCUGGUUGGUAAGGUAACGGCUUACCAAGGCUAUGAUGUUUAGGGGUCCUGAGAGGGUGGUCCCCCAACUGGUACUGAGACACGGACCAGACUCCUACGGGAGGCAGCAGUGAGGAAUAUUGGUCAAUGGGCGCAAGCCUGAACCAGCCAUCCCGCGUGCAGGAAGACGGCCCUAUGGGUUGUAAACUGCUUUUCCAGGGAGAGAAACUUACGCACGUGUUGCGUGACUGACGGUACCUGGGAAUAAGCAUCGGCUAACUCCGUG
rnacentral:rRNA from 1 species